UGAGGCUUGACGAGGGCGGUCGACUCAAGGUCGCUGUCACUGUCAGAAAUCUGAACGAAGCAGGGAGAUCACACGCACACACACGACUGAUAUGGGUGCAAUUAAUUAUUAGGUAGAACAGAAAAACAGCAGUAGUCCGGACGUCGUAAGGCCACCACGUAUCUCUGAGCCACGUUGAGGGGCGGGGAGUAGCCGUCUGCGUACGACGUGUCCUCAAACAGCACUGAGUAGUCGUCCUGGGGCUGAGAGAGCAGAGAGCGCAUGGUGGACGCAGGAGAGAGACUGAAUCAUCAGACCCUACCUGUCUCCUGGCUUGCCGAUCCACAGCGGGAGCGUCAUGGCUGACUGUUGG